rnacentral:tRNA from 1 species
GGGGGUAUUGCUCAGUGGUAGAGUGCAUACCUAGCAUGCACACGGUCCUGGGUUCAAUCCCUGGUACCUCCU